rnacentral:rRNA from 1 species
GAUGAACGCCGGAGCUGAAGACACAUAGAGUACAUGCAAGUCGUACGCACUGGCCCAACUGAUUGAUGGUGCUUGCACCUGAUUGACGAUGGAUCACCCGUGAGUGGCGGACGGGUGAGUAACACGUAGGUAACCUGCCCUGGAGCGGGGGAUAACAUUUGGAAACAGAUGCUAAUACCGCAUAACAACAAAAGCCGCAUGGCUUUUAUUUGAAAGAUGGCUUUGGCUAUCACUCUGGGAUGGACCUGCGGUGCAUUAGCUAGUUGGUAAGGUAACGGCUUACCAAGGCGAUGAUGCAUAGCCGAGUUGAGAGACUGAUCGGCCACGAUGGAACUUUUUUUACGGUCCAUACUCCUACGGGAGGCAGCAGUAGGGAAUCUUCCACUAUGGGCGCAAGCCUGAUGGAGCAACACCGCGUGAGUGAAGAAAGGUUUCGGCUCGUAAAGCUCUGUUGUUGGAGAAGAACGUGCGUGAGAGUAACUGUUCACGCAGUGACGGUAUCCAACCAGAAAGUCACGGCUAACUAC